UUUACAUUACCUUGCUCAAAACAGAGCUGCCAGCUUAUUCCCUGUUCUGAAUUCAUCUGUACCAGAGCCGUCUUGUACUCGGAGCCUUUUGGGGCAUGCAUUCCCCAGGCUUUGAAUUCCGAGAAUGCAGCUGUGUGAUUCAGACUGGAUGGCACGGCUCAUUUAAGGAGUUCGGUGUUAUCUUUUGUCCUUUGCUCUCCUGUGCCACACCGCACUGUGCCUGGCAUGCCAACAGGUCUGUCUGUAGCAGCAGGGUGAUUAGCAGGCUGUUACAUGUCCAGCCCCAUGCCUGCUUUUCUUUAGCCGAAGUUGGAAGUGUAGGAAGUUUGUGCAACUUCUCUAAAAGCCUGGAGGGGAUCAAUGAGGUACUUGAGAGCGUUUGCAACAUGGCAGCAAAAGCUGGUGAUCAGGCACGCAGCAAAACUCAGUCCUUGGGUUGCUGCAGCCUUCAUCUCAUUAAACCAUGCACCUAAUGAUGGGGUUUGGUUUGUAGGGGAGGAGCAGCAACACGUCCCUUGUGUAUGUGAUGGUUAAUGGUGUUUUUUCCUGCUUUAGGUCUUUGAUGCGUGACUGCUGGGUGUUUCGCUGUGUGCUGCCUCCUGAGCAGGCUUGAGGAACCCUGAUGUCUGUGAGCAGCAUUGGUGAUGCUAGGUGUAGUCAAGCAAAUGAUGAGAAAGCUAGACUAAGAUGUGGUGUCCUUUGGCUGUGGAUUAACCUUGUCAGGAGAACCAAGGCAUGUGACAUGCUUGGCGACAGGGGCAGUGUCGUCCGGAAGGCAGAACCCUCACACACAGCGUGUGGGAGUGCACAGAUGAACAGGAGUCUUCAUGCAUGAAAAUGGGCGUAUGUAUUUCAUGAACUAGAUUGUUCAGCAGAUUUUGCUUAACCUGCUUUGCACUAUGCCACCAAAAUGAGGACAACUGCAGACGUGUAUGUAAAGUGGCAAAUAUUAGCAAAAUUAAUUCCAAAGCAUGACCUCUUUCAAGGCACUUUACAAACAAAUAGUAAUAAUGGGGCCACAAUUUAGUGAUUUCUAAGCUAUCUACAUUGAGUUUUGAAAUGUAUCUGAAAAUGAGUGCCAUCAAAGAACACAACGGAAAUUGGGCUCUGCCUUCCCAAAUUCUUUUAAGAGUUUCCUGGAAAAAAAAAAAAAGAGUGCUGGGAUGGGCACAGCAGCAGGUGCAGGAGGACAAGGCAGACAGAGAGCAGUGUGUGUGCAUUAUCUGCUCCGGCAGCAGGGACCCAGUGUCACGUGUAUUGUGUCACCAAGCCACAGCCAGAGAGGAGGAGGGCAAGCCCUGCUUGUUAUAGCUGUUAAAGCCAGAACACCAUUUCUCAUAGUGAAAUCAUAGAAUCAUAGAAUGGCCUGGGUUGAAAAGGACUACAAUGAUUAUCUAGUUGCAACCCCCCUGCUAUGUGCAGGGUCACCAACCACCAGACCAGGCUGCCCAGAGCCACAUCCAGCCUGGCCUUGAAUGCCUCCAGGGAUGGGGCAUCCACAACCUCCUUGGGCAACCUGUUCCAGUGUGUCACCACCUGCUGUGUGCAAACUGCUGUUGGAGAUGAUUCAGCCAUCAUCUGCACGUUAAAUGUCUGAAAAGACCUUUCGUUACCACAUCAAGCACUGCCAGAGGACCACAUCAAACUGCUACCAUGGAGUAACAGUGAGAUUCAAAGCUGUGGCACAGGCACUGUAGGACCGCCUGGCACUGAGCUGAAGGUGCAACUACUGUCUGCGUGCAUCACUGAAUUGGCCUGAGACCAAACUACACACUUAAUAUCCAACAGCCACCAAUGCCCAGUGACAUGUUAACCACGUCA
ensembl:lncRNA